rnacentral:rRNA from 1 species
GACAGAGGUGCCGAGCGUUAGGCGGAAUCACUGGGCUUAAAGCGUGUGUAGGCGGAUGGGUAAGUACCUUGUGAAAUCCCACGGCUCAACCGUGGAACUGCUCGGUAUACUGCUCGUCUUGAGCCAACUAGGGGCGACCGGAACAAACGGUGGAGCGGUGAAAUGCGUAGAUAUCGUCUGGAACGCCGAUGGUGAAAACAGGUCGCUGGGGUUGUGCUGACGCUGAGACACGAAAGCCAGGGGAGCGAACGGG